CACGGGCCGAGAGAGUAGGUGUGGGUGGCCCAUUAGUCAUGGGCGGUCGGGGCGUUACAAGUGGUAUCAGAACUGGUUAGCCAUCUCGAUUCUUACCCGAGAGGCGUUUUGAGACCUGUCGUGGGGCGCAACGAAGACGUUGCGUUCUUUGAGAGGGGGUGAAUUAUAACAUCCCGAGUUGUGAUAUAUGGAAAGACUUAAGAGAAUUGAUUUGGCUACCUACGUCACCAAAGUUUACUUACCUUUUCCGACACACAUCCGUUUAGAACUCCAGAGUUAAACGUGCUUGGGCUGGAGUAGUGAAAGGAUGGAUGACCUAUCGGGAAGUGAUUCACGACACCUUGCGAGUGAGGCCAAAGCACGGGAAAAGGUUCAUGUGGUGAUUGCAUGGGUCAGCAAACAAGUCUCUUGGGCCUUGGAAAAUUACGCACCCCCGUCAGAUGGGAUGGGACCCACGGGGCGAGUGAGCGGGGGUGGGUGGCCCAUUAACCGUGGGCGGGCG
rnacentral:lncRNA from 1 species